GCAGUAGCCGCGGUAAUACGAAGGGUGCAAGCGUUAAUCGGAAUUACUGGGCGUAAAGCGUGCGUAGGCGGUUUGUUAAGUCUGCUGUGAAAUCCCCGGGCUCAACCUGGGAAUGGCAGUGGAUACUGGCAAGCUAGAGUGUGUCAGAGGAUGGUGGAAUUCCCGGUGUAGCGGUGAAAUGCGUAGAGAUCGGGAGGAACAUCAGUGGCGAAGGCGGCCAUCUGGGACAACACUGACGCUGAGGCACGAAAGCGUGGGGAGCAAACAGGAUUAGAUACCCCAGUAGUCCCUGUCUCUUAUAC
rnacentral:rRNA from 1 species